rnacentral:rRNA from 1 species
AUUGAACGCUGGCGGCAGGCCUAACACAUGCAAGUCAGGCGAGCGGCGGACGGGUGAGUAAUGUAUGGGGAUCUGCCUGAUGGCGGGGGAUAACUACCGGAAACGGUAGCUAAUACCGCAUACCAUCAGAUGAACCCAUAUGGGAUUAGCUAGUAGGUAAGGUAACGGCUUACCUAGGCGACGAUCCCUAGCUGGUCUGCGAGGAUGACCCGCAACACUGUGACUGAGACACGGCCAAGACUCCUACGGGAGGCAGCAGUGGGGAAUAUUGCACAAGGGGCGCAAGCCGGAUGCAGACAUGCCGCGUGUAUGAAGAAGGCCUUCGGGUUGUAAAGUACUUUCAGUCGGGAGGCGUUACCGACAGAAGAAGCACCGGCUAACUCCGUGCCAGCAGCCGCGGUAAUUC